CCUACGGGAGGCAGCAGUGGGGAAUAUUGGACAAUGAGCGAAAGCCUGAUCCAGCAAUGCCGCGUGUGUGAAGAAGGUCUUCGGAUCGUAAAGCACUUUCGACAGGGACGAUGAUGACGGUACCUGUAGAAGAAGCCCCGGCUAACUUCGUGCCAGCAGCCGCGGUA
rnacentral:rRNA from 1 species